GAUGAACGCUGGCGGCGUGCCUAAUACAUGCAAGUCGAGCGAACAGACGAGGAGCUUGCUCCUCUGACGUUAGCGGCGGACGGGUGAGUAACACGUGGAUAACCUACCUAUAAGACUGGGAUAACUUCGGGAAACCGGAGCUAAUACCGGAUAAUAUAUUUAACCGCAUGGUUCAAUAGUGAAAGACGGUUUUGCUGCCACUUAUAGAUGGAUCCGCGCCGCAUUAGCUAGUUGGUAAGGUAACGGCUUACCAAGGCGACGAUGCGUAGCCGACCUGAGAGGGUGAUCGGCCACACUGGAACUGAGACACGGUCCAGACUCCUACGGGAGGCAGCAGUAGGGAAUCUUCCGCAAUGGGCGAAAGCCUGACGGAGCAACGCCGCGUGAGUGAUGAAGGUCUUCGGAUCGUAAAACUCUGUUAUUAGGGAAGAACAAAUGUGUAAGUAACUAUGCACGUCUUGACGGUACCUAAUCAGAAAGCCACGGCUAACUACGUG
rnacentral:rRNA from 1 species